rnacentral:rRNA from 1 species
UACGUAGGUGGCGAGCGUUGUCCGGAUUUACUGGGCGUAAAGAGCGCGCAGGCGGUCGUGCAAGUCGCGUGUGAAAGCCCCCGGCUCAACUGGGGAGGGUCACGCGAUACUGCUCGACUCGAAGGCAGGAGAGGGAAGUGGAAUUCCCGGUGUAGUGGUGAAAUGCGUAGAUAUCGGGAGGAACACCAGUGGCGAAGGCGACUUCCUGGCCUGUUCUUGACGCUGAGGCGCGAAAGCUAGGGGAGCAAACAGG